rnacentral:rRNA from 1 species
AGCGAACGCUGGCGGCAGGCUUAACACAUGCAAGUCGAGCGGGCAUUUCGGUGUCAGCGGCAGACGGGUGAGUAACACGUGGGAACGUACCCUUUGGUUCGGAAUAACGCUGGGAAACUAGCGCUAAUACCGGAUACGCCCUUUUGGGGAAAGGCUUGCUGCCGAAGGAUCGGCCCGCGUCUGAUUAGCUAGUUGGUGGGGUAAUGGCCUACCAAGGCGACGAUCAGUAGCUGGUCUGAGAGGAUGAUCAGCCACACUGGGACUGAGACACGGCCCAGACUCCUACGGGAGGCAGCAGUGGGGAAUAUUGGACAAUGGGCGCAAGCCUGAUCCAGCCAUGCCGCGUGAGUGAUGAAGGCCUUAGGGUUGUAAAGCUCUUUUGUCCGGGACGAUAAUGACGGUACCGGAAGAAUAAGCCCCGGCUAACUUCGUG